rnacentral:rRNA from 1 species
GACGUAGGGUGCGAGCGUUGUCCGGAUUUAUUGGGCGUAAAGAGCUCGUAGGCGGCUCGUCGCGUCGACCGUGAAAACCCGCAGCUUAACUGCGGGCUUGCGGUUGAUACGGGCGGGCUAGAGUUCGGUAGGGGAGACUGGAAUUCCUGGUGUAGCGGUGAAAUGCGCAGAUAUCAGGAGGAACACCGGUGGCGAGGGCGGGUCUCUGGGCCGAUACUGACGCUGAGGAGCGAAAGCGUGGGGAGCGAACAGG